UCCUGAAGGGCGGGCGCGGAAGUAAACGCGGCCUCAGGCGGAUUCCGACUGGCGGCGAGGUCGUCCGGAGCCGCCAGGCGGGGACCGCUUGGCUUCGGCGGCCGCCGCGGUCAGCUCGUUCCGUUAUCUCCGCCUUGGCCGGCCGCACAGCGGCGGACCAAGUUCCCUUCGGGUCCUGAGACCUUGGGGGAGUGAGGCCCGAAGUCGGGACCAACUCCUCAUCCCCCUGGCCCUCCAUCUCUUCCUUGGCACGCAGCGAAUCGCUGGUUCCCUCGGGCUGGCCUCCCCGGCCGAGCCGGGAGACUAAGUUCGGGUCGGUAAAGGUAACUGUGGGAAAAGCGGCCCCCCAGUGGACAAAGGCGGAGGCAGGCAUAGAGCAGGCCCCGCGGGCCGCGGGUGCUGAGCAUAGGCAGUGGAGGAGGUGAGCCAGAAGAAAGGAGGACUGCGGCUUUAGAAGGCGCUGGGAAGGACUUGUUGCGCGAUGGAAGAAUCUGACUCCGAGAAAAAGACGGAGAAAGAGAAUCUGGGCCCAAGAGUGGAGCCUCCACUCGGGGAGCCCGAAGAAUCGCUUGGGUGGGCAAUGCCAAAUGCAGCCAUGAAGAAAAAGGUGCUGUUGAUGGGUAAAAGUGGAUCUGGUAAGACCAGCAUGAGGUCUAUUAUCUUUGCAAAUUAUAUUGCCAGAGACACUCGUCGCCUUGGUGCAACAAUCCUAGACCGUAUACAUAGUCUUCAAAUUAAUAGCAGUUUGAGCACCUACUCUCUCGUAGACUCUGUUGGAAAUACAAAGACAUUUGAUGUAGAACAUUCUCAUGUUCGAUUUCUGGGAAACCUGGUUUUGAACCUGUGGGAUUGUGGUGGACAAGACAACUUCAUGGAAAAUUAUUUUACUAGCCAGCGUGACAACAUCUUUCGAAAUGUGGAGGUUCUGAUUUAUGUCUUUGAUGUGGAGAGCCGUGAACUUGAAAAGGACAUGCACUAUUAUCAGUCAUGCCUUGAGGCCAUUUUACAGAAUUCUCCAGAAGCCAAAAUCUUUUGCUUGGUACACAAAAUGGAUUUGGUACAGGAGGAUCAACGAGACUUGAUUUUUAAAGAACGAGAAGAAGACUUAAGGCGUUUAUCUCGUCCAUUAGAAUGUUCUUGUUUCCGAACAUCUAUCUGGGAUGAAACUCUGUAUAAGGCUUGGUCCAGCAUUGUUUAUCAGCUGAUUCCUAAUGUUCAGCAACUGGAAAUGAACCUGCGCAAUUUUGCUGAAAUUAUUGAGGCUGAUGAAGUACUUCUGUUUGAGAGAGCGACCUUUCUGGUCAUUUCUCAUUAUCAGUGUAAAGAGCAGCGUGAUGCCCACAGAUUUGAGAAAAUCAGCAACAUUAUUAAGCAAUUCAAGCUGAGCUGUAGCAAGCUGGCUGCCUCUUUCCAGAGUAUGGAAGUGAGGAACUCUAACUUUGCUGCUUUCAUUGACAUAUUCACAUCCAACACUUACGUCAUGGUCGUGAUGUCUGAUCCAUCCAUUCAAGGGGUCAUCCUAUCUACUUUGUUACUGAACUCCUCCUCUGCUGAAGUCACCUUUUGAUGAACAUUUACAUGGGACACAGGACCUGCUCGAGCCCAAUCACAUAUGUACCACUUCCAUUUGAUAAUAGACUGCUGCUGUGCACAUCCUACUUUAUGACUUGGUGAGUCAGUAACACCCAGCUCAUGAUGAGCACCUGAGGUCGCAUGGUAACUUGGUGGCCCUUUAUCAAACGUUCAGUUUCCAGUAAGGACAAAUAGCAGGCCAAGAGCUGUCUUUCAAAGGGAGAAUGGCUGACAGCAGUAAUUUGGAGCCUUGCUCCAAAUCCCAAAGGCCUCUUCUGUGAUUCACCUAUAGGGCCUGCCAAAGGCUCCAAACAGCAUCCCUCUCUGCCACUGACACCCUGAAUACCAUCCCAUCUGCUGCAUCAUAUGGUCCAAGUGGUAGAGCAUCCUGCACAGCAGCCUGGACCUGUUGAAGAGCCUUCUCCUGUUCCAGGUCCCACACAACGAUAACAGCUUUGCAAGUCACUUGGACUGAGGAAGUAACCACAGGAUGAGUUCUGGGACCCACUGGAUCUACUAUGACCUUGACUUCAGCCAAAUCUCCAUGAAUCCCCUGGCCUCCAUAAGCCCACACUUUCACUGGUGGGCUACAGUGCUUCUUGGGAUCUCUGGAAUCAGCAUCAGUUCAGAAGCAGUAUCCAGCAGACCCUGGCAAGUCUGGGUGUUUCCUUUCCUACAGUGUACAGUUACCCUUGGAAAAGUCCAUAAGCUCUCUGGGAAAGGGCUAGAGAAAGGCUAGUGGUAAAUUUCUUAGGCAUUUAAUCAAGGUCCUUCCUUAGGGGAACCUGGCCAUCCCUUCAUUCAAGGGAUUCUGGGUCUAUAAACUGGCUCAAGUCUGGAAAUUGGGUCACGGUCUGAGAUUCCCUUUGGCCAUGAUCCAAUGGAGCCUUUCUUUCUCGUUUGUUUGAGAGUUUUUCCCCCACUUAUACAGAUCAAAAAGAAAAAUGCAGCAGGCCUCUUAUCUAUUUCAUGGCCUGGAAACACCAUGAUUGAUUAGCCGGUACCAAAGGUCCAUAUGAGUCAUGCCACCAUAGAAUUCGCUUUGCCUGUGCUGACCAUUAUGGGUCAGGCCAUUAUGGGCAUUGCUUUGUCUAUGCUGCCCAUUACAAUAGCUAUGAUCACCUUGCCUUUGGUGAUUCAGAGCGCCACCUGGCCCCUGCUACUUCGGGGCCCAACUCCUUGCUUUUAAUUCAUCCAACUGAGCAGCAGAGAAAGGGCGGCAGUGAGGCUCUGCAGAUGUUCCGGUGCCCCUCACCAUUUUGUGUCAUAGAGGACUUGUGAAGGGCGUGUCUUCUGGGCCUUCUUCCCAUUGUGGAAGCUUGGGUUUUUCACAGCAUACCCACUCUAAGAUUGCAGUUUCCCUGAGCCUUAAAAUCACUUCAUCAAUAUUAAGCCAAGGGAUAUCAGGCAUCUCCAACUCCUUUCCAGUAGGCCAUCUUUUGAGAAAUGCUACAGCUAACCAAUCAAACAAACUGACAUCUUUAACUGUUUAAGGUUUCAUAUUAGACCUAGAAUCUCCACUCAGUAGCCCCUUAUCAAUAAACUCAGCCUGAUCUAGUUUUAUGUUCCUGGCAUAAUAUAUGAUAUUAUAAACAUAAUGACAUAAUGAUAAUAUAAACCAUUAUCCCACACCAAUCCAUUCCCACACAUAUUCCCAGACUUCUACUUAAAUGAAUUAGCAAACUCAUUAAGCUUUUUUUUCCCCUGAGAUA